rnacentral:misc_RNA from 1 species
GAUGAAGAACGUAGCGAAAUGCGAUAAGUAAUGUGAAUUGCAGAAUUCAGUGAAUCAUCGAAUCUUUGAACGCACAUUGCGCCCCUUGGUAUUCCGAGGGGCAUGCCUGUUCGAGCGUCAUUACACCACUCAAGCUAUGCUUGGUAUUGGGCGUCGUCCUUAGUUGGGCGCGCCUUAAAGACCUAGGCGAGGCCACUCCGGCUUUAGGCGUAGUAGAAUUUAUUCGAACGUCUGUCAAAGGAGAGGAACUCUGCCGACUGAAACCUUUAUUUUUCUAGGUUGACCUCGGAUCAGGUAGGGAUACCCGCUGAACUUAAGCAUAUCAAUAAGCGGAGGA